rnacentral:rRNA from 1 species
UACAUGCAUAAUAAAGGGAUUGGACGGUCAACCUCCUAAGUCCGGAAGGAAAUGGCUCUGUUUAAUAACUGGGGUCGAUGACGGUACCGGAAUAAUACGGACCGGCUAACUACGUGCCAGCAGCCGCGGUAAUACGUAGGGUCCAAGCGUUAAUCGGAAUUACUGGGCGUAAAGCGUGCGCAGGCGGUUGUGCAAGACCGAUGUGAAAUCCCCGAGCUUAACUUGGGAAUUGCAUUGGUGACUGCACGGCUAGAGUGUGUCAGAGGGGGGUAGAAUUCCACGUGUAGCAGUGAAAUGCGUAGAGAUGUGGAGGAAUACCGAUGGCGAAGGCAGCCCCCUGGGAUAACACUGACGCUCAUGCACGAAAGCGUGGGGAGCAAACAGGAUUACAUACCCUGGUAGUCCACGCCCUAAACGAUGUCAACUAGUUGUUGGGGAUUCAUUUCCUUAGUAACGUAGCUAACGCGUGAAGUUGACCGCCUGGGGAGUACGGUCGCAAGAUUAAAACUCAAA